rnacentral:rRNA from 1 species
AGAGUUUGAUCAUGGCUCAGAAUGAACGUUGGCGGCGUGGAUUAGGCAUGCAAGUCGAGCGAGAAGCUUUUUUUUGAUCUUUCGAGUGAAGAAAAAAGUGGACAGCGGCGAAAGGGAGAGUAACGAGUAGAUUACGUACCUGAGGGUUCAGGAUAGCGGGGGGAAACCGCCGGUAGUACUGAAUAAUGUUUCCGAACCAAAGAUUUAUCGCCCUCGGAGCGGUUUGCUUACUAUUAGUUUGUUGGUGGGGUAAUGGCCUACCAAGGCUAAGAUGGUUAGCGGGUGUGAGAGCAUGGCCCGUCUCACUGGGACUGAGACACCGCCCAGACACCUACGGGUGGCUGCAGUCGAGAAUCCUCCGCAAUGGACGAAAGUCUGACGGAGCGACGCCGCGUGCGGGAUGAAGGCCUUCGGGUUGUAAACCGCUGUCGUAGGGGAGGAAAUUUUGACCGAUCCUAGGAGGAAGCACAGGCUAAGUUCGUGCCAGCAGCCGCGGUAAUAUGAACUGUGCGAACGUUAUUCGGAAUCACUGGGCUUAAAGGGUGCGUAGGCGGCUAUGAAGGUCAGGUGUGAAAUCCCACGGCUCAACCGUGGAACUGCGCCUGAAACCACAUAGCUUGAGGAAGUCAGAGGUAAGCGGAACUGAUGGUGGAGCGGUGAAAUGCGUUGAUAUCAACAGGAACACCGGUGGCGAAAGCGGCUUACUGGGACUUUUCUGACGCUGAGGCACGAAAGCCAGGGGAGCGAACGGGAUUAGAUACCCCGGUAGUCCUGGCUGUAAACGAUCUGUACUAGUCUGUGGGGACUUCCACAUCCUCUCGGACGUAGCGAAAGUGUUAAGUACAGCGCC